rnacentral:rRNA from 1 species
GAAUCGCUAGUAAUCGUGGAUCAGAAUGGCACGGUGAAUACGUUCCCGGGCCUUGUACACACCGCCCGUCACACCAUGGGAGUGGACCGCACCAGAAGUGGUUAGCCUAACUUCGGAGGGCGAUCACCACGGUGUGGUUCAUGACUGGGGUGAAGUCGUAACAAGGUAGCCGUUGGGGAACCUGCGGCUGGAUCACCUCCUU